AGGAAAGUAAGGGAUCGAAAGACCUUAUGCUUUUGGAGCGCCGAUGUCUGAUUAGCUAGUUGGUAAGGUAAUGGCUUACCAAGGCGACGAUCAGUAGUUGGUCUGAGAGGACGGCCAGCCACACUGGGACUGAGACACGGCCCAGACUCCUACGGGAGGCAGCAGUGGGGAAUUUUGGACAAUGGGCGCAAGCCUGAUCCAGCAAUGCCGCGUGAGUGAAGAAGGCCUUCGGGUUGUAAAGCUCUUUCAGUCGAGAAGAAAAGGUUGUGACUAAUAAUCAUAACUCAUGACGGUAUCGACAGAAGAAGCACCGGCUAACUACGUGCCAGCAGCCGCGGUAAUACGUAGGGUGCGAGCGUUAAUCGGAAUUACUGGGCGUAAAUGGGUGCGCAGGCGGUUCUUAAGUC
rnacentral:rRNA from 1 species